rnacentral:rRNA from 1 species
GAUGAACGCUGGCGGCGUGCUUAACACAUGCAAGUCGAACGGGAAACCUUUUAUUGAAGCUUCUGCAGUUUUAGCUGGUUUCUAGUGGCGUACGGGUGAGUAACGCGUGGGUAACCUGCCUUAUACAGGUGGAUAACAACCCGAAAUGGUUGCUAAUACCGCAUAAGCGCACAGGACCGCAUGGUCCGGUGUGAAAAACUCCGGUGGUAUAAGAUGGACCCGCGUUGGAUUAGCUAGUUGGCAGGGUAACGGCCUACCAAGGCGACGAUCCAUAGCCGGCAUGAGAGGGUGAGCGGAGACAUUGAGACUGAGACACGGCCCAGACUCCUGCGGGAGGCAGCAGUGGGGAAUAUUGCACAAUGGGGGAAAUGCUGAUGCAGCGACGCCGCGUGAAGGAAGAAGUAUCUCGGUAUGUAAACUUCUAUCAGCAGGGAAGAUAGUGACGGUACCUGAAGAAGAAGCCCCGGCUAACUACGUG